GAUGAACGCUGGCGGCGUGCUUAACACAUGCAAGUCGAACGAUGAAGCCCAGCUUGCUGGGUGGAUUAGUGGCGAACGGGUGAGUAACACGUGAGUAACCUGCCCUUGACUCUGGGAUAAGCCUGGGAAACUGGGUCUAAUACUGGAUAUGACUUCUCAUCGCAUGGUGGGGGGUGGAAAGAUUUAUUGGUCUUGGAUGGACUCGCGGCCUAUCUGCUUGUUGGUGAGGUAAUGGCUCACCAAGGCGACGACGGGUAGCCGGCCUGAGAGGGUGACCGGCCACACUGGGACUGAGACACGGCCCAGACUCCUACGGGAGGCAGCAGUGGGGAAUAUUGCACAAUGGGCGCAAGCCUGAUGCAGCGACGCCGCGUGAGGGAUGACGGCCUUCGGGUUGUAAACCUCUUUCAGUAGGGAAGAAGCGAGAGUGACGGUACCUGCAGAAGAAGCGCCGGCUAACUACGUG
rnacentral:rRNA from 1 species